rnacentral:rRNA from 1 species
GUAUAGUGGUAAACGUAUACUCUUGGACAAAGAGGAACUUCGUCUUCCUUAUGGAUGACCCGUUGGAUUACUAGUGGUGGGUAAGGCUCCCUAGCCACGAUCCUACCUGCUUGAGGGGUGUCGGCCCCUGGACUGAGCCCGCCCGACUCUUCGGGAGCAGCAUUGGGAUUUUGCCAAUGGCGAAAUCUGAUGAGCAAGCCGCUGAUGAAGAGGCUUCGGUUGUAAGUAUUUCUUGGGAGAACGCGUUGUGCUAAUUCAUCACCCUGACGUACCGACCGAAAAGCACGGCUAAUUCGUGCAGCAGCGCGGUAUUCGUAGGGGCAGCGUUAUUGGAUUAUUGGCGUAAGCGCCGCAGGCGGUUGUUAAUUUGAUGGAAAUCCCCGGCUCAACCUGGAGGGCAUGGAAACUGGUGACUUGAGUCUGUAGAGAGAGUGGAUUCCAUGUGUGCGGUGAAUGCGUAGAGAUUUGAGGAAUACAGUGGCGAAGGCGGUCUCUGGUCAUAACUGACGCUCAGGUCGAAAGCGUGGGAGCAAACAGGAUAGAUACCUGGUAGUCCACCCGUAAACGAUGUCGAUUAGUGGUUGUGCCCUCCAGGAGUCCUUUCGGAGCUAACGCGUUAAGCAGUCCGCCUGGGGAGUACGGCCGCAAGGUUAAAACUCAAAUGAAUUGACGGGGGCCCGCACAAGCGGUGGAGCAUGUGGUUUAAUUCGAUGCAACGCGAAGAACCUUACCUACUCUUGACAUCCAGAGAACAAGCAGAGAUAGAGUGUUGCCUUCGGGAACUAAAAGACAGGUGCUGCAUGGGUGUCGUCAGCUCGUGUUGUGAAAUGUUGGGUUAAGUCCCGCAACGAGCGCAACCUUAUCCUUUGUUGCCAGUGAUUCGGUCGGGAACUCAAAGGAGACUGCCGGUGCUAACCGGGAGGAAGGUGGGGAGGACGUCAAGUCAUCAUGGCCCUUACGCGUAGGGCUCCCCACGUGUUCCAAUGGCGGAUACAAAGAGAAGCGACCUCGCGAGAGCAAGCGGUCUUCAUAAAGUACGUCCUAGUCCGGAUUGGAGUCUGCAACUCGACUCCAUGAAGUCGGAAUCGUUAGUAAUCGUGGAUCAGAAUGCUACGGUGAAUACGUUCCCGGCCUUUGUCCACACGGCCGGUCACACCAUGGGAUUGGGUUCCAAAGGAAGUAGGUAGCUUACCCUUUGGGAGGCCGCUGACCACGGUUGGAUUCAUGACUGGGGAAGUCGUAACAAGACUGCCC